AGAACGAACGCUGGCGGCAGGCCCAAUACAUGCAAGUCGAACGCACUCUUCGGAGUGAGUGGCAGACGGGUGAGUAACGCGUGGAAACCUUCCCAAUAGUACGGAAUAACUCCGGGAAACCGGUGCUAAUACCGUAUAAGCCCUUCGGGGGAAAGAUUUAUCGCUAUUGGAUGGGUCCGCGUCGGAUUAGCUUGUUGGUAGGGUAAUGGCCUACCAAGGCGACGAUCCGUAGCU
rnacentral:rRNA from 1 species